GACGAACGCUGGCGGCGUGCCUAACACAUGCAAGUCAACUUGACUGAAGGAGCAAUCUGACAGUAGAGUGGCGCAAGGGUGCGUAACGCGUAAGUAACUUGCCCCAAGGUAAGGAAUAACGUCGAGAAAUCGGCGCUAAUACCUCAUAAUGCAGCGGAUCCGCAUGGAUAUGUUGUUAAAGGUUUACCGCCUUGGGAUAGGCUUGCGUCUGAUUAGCUAGUUGGUGUGGUAACGGCACACCAAGGCUACGAUCAGUAACUGGUCUGAGAGGAUGAUCAGUCACACUGGAACUGAGACACGGUCCAGACUCCUACGGGAGGCAGCAGUGAGGAAUAUUGGGCAAUGCUCGAAAGAGUGACCCAGCAACGCCGCGUGGAGGAUGAAGGUAUUCUAUAUCGUAAACUCCUGUGAGAGCAGACGAAAGACAGAUUAUAAUCUGGAUGACUGUAUGCUCAGAGGAAGCCCC
rnacentral:rRNA from 1 species